CUUGCUUAUAAUGAAAACAUUUCUCUUUAUUUUAAAGCUAUUCAAGAAUAUCUAAAUAUACAAAACAGUUCACUUUUUCCGCUGGACGCUAUUCAAAAGGGAAAUAUUCAGCCUGUCAUACAAAAUAUAUACGACGUUGCAGAUGCGCUUAGAAAGCGAAGUGACUAUACCGGUCCUUUAUUGGUUACUAUCAAAAGAGGAGGAAAGUUCUGCACAGAAACAGAUUCUUUUAUUCCGGAAGAGGAAAGUUCCUUUCAAAUAAGAAGAGAAAAAAGGUUACAGGAAAUGAUGAAAGAGCGAGAAGAGCUACUACAAAAGAAAAGUUCCGCCCAUAGUUUUUUAGUUUCAUGUAUUUUAAAAACUUUCCGGUUUCUUUUUAAUAAUAUUAUCAAGCCGUUCUUUAGCGCUAUAAAAGUUUUUUUCGG